rnacentral:rRNA from 1 species
AGUAAAUAGAUACCCCGGUAGUCCACGCCGUAAACGAUGUCGACUUGGAGGUUGUGCCCUUGAGGCGUGGCUUCCGGAGCUAAACGCGUUAAAGUCGACCGCCUGGGGAGUACGGCCGCAAGGUUAAAACUCAAAUGAAUUGACGGGGCCCGCACAAGCGGUGGAGCAUGUGGUUUAAUUCGAUGCAACGCGAAGAACCUUACCUACUCUUGACAUCCAGAGAACUUAGCAGAGAUGCUUUGGUGCCUUCGGGAACUCUGAGACAGGUGCUGCAUGGCUGUCGUCAGCUCGUGUUGUGAAAUGUUGGGUUAAGUCCCGCAACGAGCGCAACCCUUAUCCUUUGUUGCCAGCGGUCCGGCCGGGAACUCAAAGGAGACUGCCAGUGAUAAACUGGAGGAAGGUGGGGAUGACGUCAAGUCAUCAUGGCCCUUACGAGUAGGGCUACACACGUGCUACAAUGGCGCAUACAAAGAGAAGCGACCUCGCGAGAGCAAGCGGACCUCAUAAAGUGCGUCGUAGUCCGG